UGUUCUGUGGCUUAGUUGGUUAAAGCGCCGGUCUAGUGAAGUCGUGGAUUCGAAUCCUACCAGAACGC
rnacentral:tRNA from 1 species